rnacentral:rRNA from 1 species
GUUGCCGUUCAUCCUGACAUGAGGAUGCACCUCCAGGUGCUUCCCGAAUUCACCGUCGUGCAGCACGAACGCGACGUCCGGUUGUUGCAUGCGCUGAAAGCAUUCUUCGGAUGCGGAAUCGUCAGGAGAAAUCAUGGCGAUCGAGCAGCCUACCGGGUGCGCAAGCGAAGCGAUUUGAUCCGGACGAUCGUCCCUUUCUUUCUUGAGCAUCCCCUCCAAUCUCGGAAGCGCGACGACUUCGACGUGUUUCGUCGCGUUCUCCUCAUGAUGGAGAGGGACGUUCAUUUGUCCCAGUCGGGAGUGGAAAUAAUCCGCGCCAUGGCUGGCACGAUGAAUCGAGGUCGAUCAAGGUAAAGUCCGGCCUCCUGGGAAACCUCGAGGAGCAACCGAGCGAAAUUCCUUGUCGGGUAAGACAUUGCCCGGGGCGGGAGCGAUCCCGUUCCAUUCAACCGGCUCAAAUCGGUGGAACCCCACCGGCACUUGCAGGGCGCCGAGGGCAAUACCGAGGGUAAGAUCAUGGAAGCUCAUGAUCCCCGUAACGACUCAGGGGUGAGAACCCUGGAUGGGGUCUGCGGACUCCAUAAGACGCCGGCCCUGAUCUCGCCGAGAAAAUGAGUCUGGUGAAGGAGGAGCGACUUUCUCAACUCGCUUCGAUCAGGUGAACGUAUAGUCUAUGCCACGCGGAAGCGUGGAACCUCAUGAAGUUCCGACCUGCACGAAUGGUGUAACGACUUGACUGCUGUCUCCUGCAAGAGCUCGGCGAAACUGUAGCAGCGGUGAAGAUGCCGCUUACCCGCGACUGGACAGAAAGACCCCGUGCACCUUUACUGUAACCUGAUAUUGGGUCUUGAUCUUUCAUGUGUAGGAUAGGUGGGAGGCUAUGAAGCGGGGGCGCUAGCCCUCGUGGAGCCAACCUUGAAAUACCACCCUUGAAAUAUCGGGAUUCUAACCAUGAGCCGUAAGCCGGCCAUGGAACAGUGUCAGGCGGGCAGUUUAACUGGGGCGGUUGCCUCCUAAAGAGUAACGGAGGCGUCCAAAGGUUCCCUCAGCGCGGUUGGUAACCGCGCGUGGAGUGCAAUGGCACAAGGGAGCUUAACUGCGAGACAAACAAGUCAAGCAGGUGCGAAAGCAGGGCAUAGUGAUCCGGUGGUUCUGCAUGGAAAGGCCAUCGCUUAACGGAUAAAAGGUACGCCGGGGAUAACAGGCUGAUCUCCCCCGAGAGUUCACAUCGACGGGGGGGUUUGGCACCUCGAUGUCGGCUCAUCGCAUCCUGGGGCUGGAGAAGGUCCCAAGGGUUGGGCUGUUCGCCCAUUAAAGCGGUACGUGAGCUGGGUUCAGAACGUCGUGAGACAGUUCGGUCCCUAUCCAUCGUGGGCGGAGGAUCCUUGCGGGGAGUUGCUCCUAGUACGAGAGGACCGGAGCGAACGAACCUCUAGUGUACCGGUUGUCCUGCCAUGGGCACCGCCGGGUAGCUAUGUUCGGACGUGAUAAGCGCUGAAAGCCUCUAAGCGCGAAACACACCCCAAGAUGAAGGAUCCCGUGGCGUAAGCCACCUGAAGGCUCGUUGGAGAUUACAACGUCGAUAGGCGGGAGGUGUAAGGUCCGUAAGGGCUUCAGCCGACCCGUACUAAUCAGCCGUGAGGCUUGGCC